ACGGAAGGCAGCAGUGAGGAAUAUUGGUCAAUGGGCGGAAGCCUGAACCAGCCAAGUCGCGUGAAGGAUGAAGGUAUUAUGUAUUGUAAACUUCUUUAGACGUAGAGAAAUAAGCGGGACGCGUCCCGCGAUGCUAGUAUGCGUAGAAUAAGGAUCGGCUAACUCCGUGCCAGCAGCCGCGGUAAUACGGAGGAUCCGAGCGUUAUCCGGAUUUAUUGGGUUUAAAGGGUGCGCAGGCGGUCUUUUAAGUCAGUGGUAAAAUCGGGGAGCUCAACUCCAUCCCGCCAUUGAUACUGGAGGACUUGAUUGCGGUCGAGGUUGGCGGAAUUCGCCGUGUAGCGGUGAAAUGCAUAGAUAUGGCGAAGAACUCCGAUUGCGUAGGCAGCUGACCAGGCCGUAAAUGACGCUCAUGCACGAAAGUGCGGGGAUCGAACAGGAUUAGAUACCCUGGUA
rnacentral:rRNA from 1 species